rnacentral:pre_miRNA from 10 species
UGCAGAAGAAAGAUCUGGAAGUGGGAGAAACUUUCACUAUAUACAGUGGCUCCCAAUUCCAGAUCUUUCUCUCU